rnacentral:misc_RNA from 1 species
AGAGUUGCAUAAAAUGGUGGAGGACUUGAAGUGCAAGUAUGAUGAGAUUGAGUUGAUACGAGCAGAUCAAGAAAAGCAGAUCAUUAAACUGUCUGGAGACUGUUAUGAACAAACUAAGGAGGUAGAAUGCAUUCGGGAAGCAAAUCGGAAAUUGGAGACUGAACUGGGGAAAUUGAAUGGAGAACUUUUAGAAAAUAAGAUCAGGGAGGAAAGUUUGAAUUGUGAACUGCAAAAAAGAAGAAAUGAGGUAGAAUGGUGGGAGUCUCAGGCUGCUGCACUUUUUGGCGAACUGCAGACAUCUGCUGUCCAACAAGCACUGUAUGAAGGAAAGGUUCAUGAGCUCAUUGAAACAUGUGAGAGCCUUGAAGGCAGAAAUUGUUUGAAAGCUAGCGAGAUUGACCAGAUGAAAGAAAGAGUAGGCACCGUGGAACAUAAGAAUGAAGAACUAAGGUCUCAGAUGACUUCAUAUGUCCCAGCUUUCAUUUCUUUGAUGGAUUGUAUAGCAUCUCUGGAAAAUCAUACUCUCUCACAUGCAAAACUUCAUGAAAUUCACAAGAAGGAAGCCAAGGAUGCCCCCUUUGCGGUGGAUGCUGAAAGCUGUCAACAGAUUAGCGAUGAUCAAAUUAGCGUGGGGCCAGGUGGACUUUUGGACUUGCAGGGUUUGCAAAUGAGGAUUAUAGCUAUUGAAGAAGCUGUAAAAGAAAGGGAGAGACUAGUUAUUCUGGAAAACUCUAAUGCUAAUUCCAAACUUGCUGAUGCAAUUAGACAGAUUGAAGAGAUGAAAUCCGAAAGCAGCUUACAUGGAGAAGCUGUUGAAGCAGGCAAGCAUGGGAAUCAAAAUCCAGAUGACAAGGAACUGGGAUCUGAUCCUGAUAAUAAUCUCAGGCUUCAGAAGCGAACACAUGAAAACGCUGAAGAGGGGAAUGGAGUGAUGACGAAAGACAUAAUGCUUGAUCAGAUAUCUGAGUGUUCAUCAUAUGGGAUCAGCAGAAGGGAGACUGUAGAGGCUGAUGAUCAGAUGCUUGAAAUAUGGGAAACUACUACCGACCAGGAUGCCAGCAUUGACCUGACUGUUGGAAAGGCCCGGAAGGCUACUGCUACUCUGACUGAGAAGAAGCGCAACAAGGAUCAUCCUUCUGUGGAAUCAAUGGUUGAGAAGGAUGUUAGUGUGGACAAGUUAGAGAUCUCAAAGAGAUUAUCAGGGUCUCGCCAAGAAGUGAAUGAGAGGAAAAUUCUAGAAAGACUUGAUUCUGAUGCACAAAAGUUAACUAAUCUUCAAAUAACUGUGCAAGACUUGAAGAGGAAGGUGGAGAUCACAGAGAAGAACAAGGGAAAAGGUAUUGAAUAUGAUAACGUGAAGGAGCAGUUGGAAGAGUCUGAGGAGGCCAUUAUUAAAUUGUUUGAUGUGAAUCGCAAAUUAAUGAAGAGCAUUGAAGAUGAAUCAUUUUCGGUUGAUGAGAAAUCUGUGUUAGCAUUGGAUGAGAAUGGAAGUGUCAGAAAGAGAAGAAUUUCAGAACAGGCCAGAAGAGGGUCUGAAAAAAUUGGACGGUUGCAGUUGGAGGUGCAAAAACUGCAAUUUCUUUUGCUGAAACUUGAUGAUGCAAAUAAAAGCAGAGGAAAAACCAAAAUCAUAGAACGAAAAACAAGAGUUCUUCUGCGUGAUUAUCUGUAUGGUGGGACAAGAACUAGCCAGAAGAGAAAGAAAGGGCAUUUCUGUGCAUGUAUGCAACCUCCAACCAAGGGGGAUUGACAGAAAUUACAUUCUAUCGGCAUAAAAUUGGUGUAGUUAAGACAUUUAGUUGCUUUGUGCAUAAAUUUUAGAAAUCUUCCGUAGACUUAAAUGUUACUUUCUUGUUUGGUUAAGAGAGGAUCGAGCAUUCUUUUAAGUUUAGAGAUCCUGUUGUACACGACGGGCUGUGUUUCAUCAAAAGAAGCUACUUUAACAUUGCUUCUUUCGCUCCCUUUUUUUUUUCAUUGGUUUUAUUUUCAUAAUCGCAAACAUCAGAUGUCUUUUUGAACAAUUAUUAUUAUUAAAGAGUACAAGCUUUUUAGAAAAAUAGAACAAUAUAAGCGUUUGAGGC